UGGGGAAUAUUGCGCAAUGGGCGAAAGCCUGACGCAGCAACGCCGCGUGAAGGAUGAAAUCUUUCGGGAUGUAAACUUCGGAAGAAUAGGAAGAAUAAAAUGACGGUACUAUUUUUAAGGUCCGGCUAACUACGUGCCAGCAGCCGCGGUAAUACGUAGGGACCAAGCGUUGUUCGGAUUUACUGGGCGUAAAGGGCGCGUAGGCGGCGUAAUAAGUCACUUGUGAAAUCUCCGGGCUUAACUCGGAGCGGCCAAGUGAUACUGUUAGGCUAGAGUGCAGAAAGGGCAAUCGGAAUUCUUGGUGUAGCGGUGAAAUGCGUAGAUAUCAAGAGGAACACCUGAGGCGAAGGCGGGUUGCUAGGCUGACACUGACGCUGAGGCGCGAAAGCUAGGGUAGCAAACGGGAUUAGAUACCCCCGUAGUCCCUGAGCGGGCUGGCAAGGCGCAU
rnacentral:rRNA from 1 species